CUGGACAAGGUCCCAAGGGUCCGGCUGUUCGCCGGUUAAAGCGGUACGUGAGCUGGGUUCAGAACGUAAAUUACAUUGCGUUCUACCACAGAAAUGUGGUACAAUAAAUCUGACUAAUAUCGGUGAAACCCGAACUGAAUUCCGAACAUUCAGAGGGCAAUACCGAGGGAAGAUCAGAUUGGUGUCAAGCGAAGAAAUACCAUAUAUUGCAGGUUUUCUUGAUGGCGAUGGUUGCGUAAUGGCACAGCUUGUCCGCCGUAAAGAUUAUGUUUACGGCUACCAAAUAAGGACAAGCAUCGUGUUUUACCAACAGUCAAAGAAUCAAGAGAUACUGCAAUGGCUAAAAAACCAAUUAGAGUAUGGAUAUAUUCGACAACGAAACGAUAACAUGGUGGAAUAUACCAUAGUUGGUUUAAGGGAAGUAAAGAGUGUUUUAAAGCUUCUCUUGCCGUAUCUUCGUUUGAAGAAAAAGCUUGCUGAACAGGUAAUAAGGCUUAUCGAGCUUCAUCCCAAAAAGAUGACGCCGAAGGAGCUGAUUAGAUUGAGUAAACUAGUUGAUGGCACAGCAAGGUUCAAUUACUCAAAGAAAAGGACAAACACAAGCGAAACAGUUCAGCAGUUUUUAAAAACCAAUCUUUUCCCCGUAGAGACUGAAGCGUAAGCUGAGAUAGCUUCAAAAGCUAUAAUACGUCAGCCCCUCCUUGAAAAUGGCAAGAGGGUGAAGAUAUAGUCCAUGCCGUUAGUAAUAGCGGAUAAACAUGCGUAAGACAGUUCGGUCUCUCUCUGUCGUGGGCGCGAGGAUAUUUGAUAGGAGCAAUCCCUAGUACGAGAGGACCGGGAUUGACGGACCGCCGGUGUUCCAGUUGUCACGCCAGUGGCAUCGCUGGGUAGCCGUGUCCGGAAGGGAUAAGCGCUGAAGGCAUCUAAGCGCCAAGCCCCCCUCAAGACUAUAUAUCCCGUCCCUUCGGGGACACAGGCACCUUGGAGACUACAAGGUUGAUAGGUCUUAGGUGUAAGACGAGCAAUCGUUUUAGCUCAAAGAUACUAAUCUGCCGAUCGGCUUGACCAC
rnacentral:rRNA from 1 species